rnacentral:rRNA from 1 species
CAUUAAAGAGUAAGGGUGCUCAGCGCCCGACCUCCAACCCUUUGUUGUUAAAACUACCUUGUUGCUUUGGCGGGACCGCUCGGUCUCGAGCCGCUGGGGAUUCGUCCCAGGCGAGCGCCCGCCAGAGUUAAACCAAACUCUUGUUAUUUAACCGGUCGUCUGAGUUAAAAUUUUGAAUAAAUCAAAACUUUCAACAACGGAUCUCUUGGUUCUCGCAUCGAUGAAGAACGCAGCGAAAUGCGAUAAGUAAUGUGAAUUGCAGAAUUCAGUGAAUCAUCGAAUCUUUGAACGCACAUUGCGCCCCUUGGUAUUCCGAGGGGCAUGCCUGUUCGAGCGUCAUUACACCACUCAAGCUAUGCUUGGUAUUGGGCGUCGUCCUUAGUUGGGCGCGCCUUAAAGACCUCGGCGAGGCCACUCCGGCUUUAGGCGUAGUAGAAUUUAUUCGAACGUCUGUCAAAGGAGAGGAACUCUGCCGACUGAAACCUUUAUUUUUCUAGGUUGAC